ACUACAGGUGCCUGCCACAAUGCCCAGCUAUUUUUUUUAGUUGCAGCUGACAUUGUUGUUGGCGGGCUUGGGCUGGCUUCGAACCCGCCAGUUCAGGUGU